AGUUUGGUGGUUUUGAAUCUUGCUUCGUUCUUCUGCCGCUAGAUUUCUUUUUCUUCUUCAUUUUUAAAUAUUUUUUUGUGGGAGGUGGGUCGGAUGAAGUUCUGGAAUUUUUAUUCUUCGGCUUCAAAGAAUAUAAGAAGUGGACUCAGCUCAAUUAAGUUAAAUAUUUUAUGAUUCAUUACUGAUUAUGUUAUUACUAGAGCUUUUAUGUAAUUAUGCGUGAUGGGCAUUCUAGUUUCCUGU
rnacentral:misc_RNA from 1 species